AGGUUUUUUGAGAACAGCUGCAGGGUGUGGUGGCACACUCCUGUAAUCCCAUCCCUGGAGAGGCUGAGGCAGGAGGAGUGCCAUGAGUUUGUGAGUUUGAGGCCAGCCUGGGCUACAGAGUGAUCUCAGGGUAGGUCAGUCUGGGCUGCGUAGGGAGACCCUGCCCUGUGAGGGCAAUCUGGAGCGACAUCUGUCACUGCAUUGCUUGGGCUGACUUGGCAGACCUGCCAGGUGGGCGGGGUCUUUCCUCCCUCCCCGCCCCUUGUGCUUCCCUCCAGAGGCUGCCUGCUCCGUUGAUCAAAGAGGACAACCACCACCCUGUUGGGGCCCAUUUCCUGGUCAGGGGACCGAGUGGCCCUGCCCCUGCUAGAACCUCCCCACCAGGUCUCCAGGCCCACUGUACUUCCACUUGUGUAUGGGUUAGAGGAGCAAAACAAAAUCUUUGCAGCGCACACAAAGCCCUGGGUUAAUGGCUGUCUUCAACAGGGACUGGGGAGGAGGGAGGUCAGCACAGGCCGGCUACCAGGCACCCUUCCCAGGCUUGCUCAAGGUGGUCUGCAAAGGGGCCGCAGACACAGGGCAGCUGAAAUGCUGCCCUUUGUGGGGAGACCUGCAUCUGUACCAGAAGCAAGUGGAGCGCAGGCAGACUUCCCUUGGUCUAGGAAAGCUCUUGUCACCGGAAGAAGACGCUGGGUUCUGACCCCUUCCCAGAAAGAGAUUACACAAAUGGCCUCCUGACCACUGUCACCUGGAAGACUUUGCAGCCUUGAAGACCGCCUCUGAGGUGCACUGACCUCCCCUCACCCUGUCGUGCCCUUUUGCCACCUACUAUGAGGAGCCUUAAAUUUCUUUUUGUUUUGUUGUUUUUGGUACCAGGGAUUGAACUCAGGACUUCGCGCUUGCAAGGCAGGCUCGGUGCUGCUGUUAAAUUUCUUUUUGUACAUAAACUUGAAUCAUUGAGCUCUCCUUUAGUCUCCUGCUUUGUAUAUGGCUGCUGUCUCCCCCACCCCCUUGAGAGGGACGUAAACCUAGGCCCUUCACACUGAGCCACAUCCCUACCUCUUUUCUUGUUCCUUAAUUUUUAUUUUGAGACAGUUUCCCUAAAUCACUAAAUUGGGUCAGACCUGUGACUCCUGCCUCAGCCUCCUAGAAUGCUGAGAUUACAGGCCUGUGCCACUGUAGCCCGCUCCCUUUCUCUCUCCUUCCCUCUUCCUCCCUUCCUCCUUCCUCUUGAACCCAGUGCCCAGCACCUGCUAAGUGCUCUGCCCCUGAGCCACACCCCAGCCCGGGGUUUUUAAGGCUAAUCAAUUCCUAUGCUCCUCUCCCUGUUAAUCUGCCUAUUGCCAAUUUACUUUAUAGACUAAAACUGGAACUUCAAGGGGAAAAGAAAACACAAGCGCCGAAGCCCAGUUUAAUACUGACCCUGGUCCUUGCUAGCCUCAGUAACAACUUCUUGGCAUUCGGUGCUGGGAUGGAGCCCAGGCCCUCACCCGUGCUACGUGCAUCUCCCCACCCGCAGUGAGCUGCACCCUCAGCCCC
rnacentral:lncRNA from 1 species